GAUGAACGCUGGCGGCGUGCCUAAUACAUGCAAGUCGAGCGAACAGACGAGGAGCUUGCUCCUCUGACGUUAGCGGCGGACGGGUGAGUAACACGUGGAUAACCUACCUAUAAGACUGGGAUAACUUCGGGAAACCGGAGCUAAUACCGGAUAAUAUAUUGAACCGCAUGGUUCAAUAGUGAAAGACGGUUUUGCUGUCACUUAUAGAUGGAUCCGCGCCGCAUUAGCUAGUUGGUAAGGUAACGGCUUACCAAGGCAACGAUGCGUAGCCGACCUGAGAGGGUGAUCGGCCACACUAGAACUGAGACACGGUCCAGACUCCUACGGGAGGCAGCAGUAGGGAAUCUUCCGCAAAGGGCGAAAGCCUGACGGAGCAACGCCGCGUGAGUGAUGAAGGUCUUCGGAUCGUAAAACUCUGUUAUUAGGGAAGAACAAAUGUGUAAGUAACUAUGCACGUCUUGACGGUACCUAAUCAGAAGGCCACGGCUAACUACGUG
rnacentral:rRNA from 1 species